rnacentral:rRNA from 1 species
AUGGCCACCUCCAGAUUGCAUUUUGGAUAUGAUCACGGACGAGAUUCCGAACUUCGUUUAAGUUAUCGAAAAAGAAUUUCGCCCCGCUUUAUAUAUAAAUCAACGACCAGAAGUACAAAUCUAGGUACAACACGCAACCUCCCACACACCACACACACCCAAGACAAGACACAAGGGUGCCGAUGCACCGCAACACUACCCAAACGACCACCAAGCACAAGACCUAGCCACCGAGAAGAAGUGAAGCGGGACAAUGGCGAAGCAUGGACUCCAAGGCGGUGCCUUCAAGAAGAGCACGACACCGAAAGCCGCCACCGCCCGAUCUCAGAGAUCAAGUUUUCACCCGGAGCAACAUGGAGAGAAGAGAACACCACGACGGAGCCUUCAUGA